rnacentral:tRNA from 1 species
UGGGAGGUCGUCUAAUGGCAGGACACCUGACUUUGAAUCAGGUAAUGGAGGUUCGAACCCUUCCCUCUCAG